rnacentral:rRNA from 1 species
UCAGGAUGAACGCUGGCGGCGUGCCUAACACGAUGCAAGUCGAGCGAUCUCUUCGGAGAAGAGCGGCGGACGGGUGAGUAACGCGUGGGUAACCUGCCCUAUACACACGGAUAACGUACCGAAAGGUACGCUAAUACGAGAUAAUAUGCUUUAGUCGCAUGGCUGAAGUAUCAAAGCUCCGGCGGUAUAGGAUGGACCCGCGUCUGAUUAGCUAGUUGGUAAGGUAAUGGCUUACCAAGGCGACGAUCAGUAGCCGACCUGAGAGGGUGAUCGGCCACAUUGGAACUGAGACACGGUCCAAACUCCUACGGGAGGCAGCAGUGGGGAAUAUUGCACAAUGGGCGAAAGCCUGAUGCCAGCAACGCCGCGUGAGCGAUGAAGGCCUUCGGGUCGUAAAGCUCUGUCCUCAAGGAAGAUAAUGACGGUACUUGAGGAGGAAGCCCCGGCUAACUACGUGCCAGCCGCCGC